CCACAUCAACGAUCAUUGACGAGUGUGCCUGGGGUCCGUCAAGUCGAUGCUGCCACUGCCCGGUGGCGACAACGAACGGCAUUGUGACACACCGCCAGGUGAAAGGUUACAAAUCACUGGAGGCUUACACUUUGUAAGCAGAUGGAUACAGAGUGUAAACUUCAAAAUCUUACCUGAAGGAGGAGUCCUAGCUGGUGCACGAACCCAUAAUAGCAGCUGGAGGACCACGAUGGACCACCUGCGUCUUGUCCAGAGCUGGGGUUAAUGGUACAGAGCAGUCAGCUGAGCAAGACCACUCCCGGAUUUGGACGCAUUCCCCAGUUUCCAACCCAAUUCCUGGGCCUGAUUUUCCGAGCCCCGCUAAUGGAGAGUGGAGUGGCUGGGGAGCAAGAAAGCUGGAGGUCCAGGAGGACAGUCGGAGACCAGAAGGAGGGCAAAAAUUGGAAGGCGGUUGGGUUUUAAAGAGCAGCACUCCUCAGCGUUUUCACGAGCGCGAUCAUCAUUAUGGGCUGCUUCCGCUAACCCCGGUCGAAGCCCUUCCCGUCUUGUGACUUGUGUUGACAUUAGCAUCCUUGGCGGAUGCGGUCUUCACAAGGACCACAAAAACAAUCAAUUCUCAUAAAUUCAAACAACUUACAGUCUCCUUUCUUGUUAUUUUCUCUUAUUUCAUCAUCUUUUCAUUCUCAAAAGUGUGCCUUUGGGUGCAUGCUGAAAGAGUCCAGCAGCAAAACGUCUGCUACUCAACAAGCAUUGUAGUUUAUACCGCUUGUCAUAGUUCUGACCUUUUUCAGUGUAUCGAAGCGCAAACUUCAAGAAAGCAAUGAAAUCGUGUUUUGCUCGAUAAAGCUAGUAUUUUCAGAUUCUAAAUAUCCCGUGGUUCCUACAAGAUUAGACUUUUUACACAGCAACAUUAGAGACAAUCUCCCCCCCCCCCCAAAAAAAAAAAAAAUAAUCCCCCCAUGGCCAAAUCUGGGGAUUUGGAAUUAAAUUUUUAGUAUUUCACAAAAAUUUCAGUGAAGGACCAUCAGAAAUGGUUUCACACAAAACCUCAGUAUACCUUAUGACUACGCUAUUCGGGGAUCACCAAUGAACGGCUAUUUUUCUUUUUCUUGAGC